AGCUUUGCGCAGUGGCAGUAUCGUAGCCAAUGAGGUUUAUCCGAGGCGUGAUUAUUGCUAAUCAAAUGUUUUAUCCAAAACAGUGUGUAAGAUCCAAAGCAACUAUGUUACAAACAAACUUUUGGGAUUUAAUCUAAU